ACCUGCGGUUGGAACACCUCCUUA
rnacentral:rRNA from 1 species